rnacentral:misc_RNA from 1 species
UUAAUGCGUAGUCACCGAAGAAAAGUGUUAGUUACCAGGGCCUGCCCUUUUAAAAUUAAAUUUAAAUUGAAAAAAAAAUGACCAAAAAAUCGAAAUCUCUGGCAAGAUGUAGCGUCAAAAGAAAAUUUAUCAAACGGCAUUGCCAUCAUCGUGCAACAAUCCCAAAGAAGCCAUUUAGAAUGCAGGCAUCCAGGCAAAAACCAGAAAACGUGCCUGUGGCAGCUGCACUUCGUGGCCUUGACGAACCCGGACAGUAGAAAAACCCUGGGAACCUAACCCAAAUGGCUCAUAGGGGUUGGACUGGACUCAGGUAGGCGAAGUCCCCGAAAACCGAGGCUACAUUCUUGCCACCGCUGCUAAAUCGAUCAUCAGUCUUUGGCGGCAUGGCUAAGUGGAAACUUCUCGUAAGAAACUCUUCCCGGAGGAGUGUGGAAUUUUUGUUAAAUUUUUUUUAAAGUGCAUUUUUUUUAAGGUGAAAUUAGCUAGAGUGUGUACUGCUACUGAUAGGGUGACCUAACGCAACAGCAACGAGAUGUGCUCCAUCGGGUAGUGAUAACUUCUUGGCAACCCCAACCUUAAAAAUUCGACUUCAAUUCAUACAUGUGACCAGAUAAACACAGCUUCAAGCGCAUUACUCGCUCCAUAGAUUCAUUAAACUUUAAUGAACACAAGAAACACUGAAAAAGUAAGAGAUUCUUCGCCUGAGCUGCAAUUCUUAAGGGUGGCGUCUUCGAGGCAUCGAAGACGCGGCUAUCCGAAGGAGCGAAAGUGGUGCGAGUGGUGCAACUUGUGCCACUGCCAGCGGAGUGGAUGAGCCCCAUAUAAACUGAACCUUGCAGACCUACAAAGACCCUAUGGCCCAUAAAGCCGGACAGGGUUUUCCUGUCCGAAAAGUAAUGUAACGAAAACGCUUGAGAUGGAAAAUUCUGGCCGGAACGAAAGAGACAAAUGAACCCAAAGCGUCCGCUUGUCGCCACUUGCGUUUCGAGAAGACGCGUACGCAUACCUCUAUCGGAUGCAUGUGGCGGUACGCGGAUGCGAGCGAGACAAUGAUACUGUAGACAAGGAGAGACGGCUCCCUCUCUCCAUCACUCUCUAUCGGGCUGGCCAGGCGUUUGCAUCGCAAGCGGGUGAGUGAGACGGCCAUAGGGCGGACUGCAAGUCCCGAAAGAGAGCGGUAAAGCCAUAUAACCCCUAUAAGCAAUAAACGACGCAUCGAAAGUUGCGUAUAACGGCAUGGGCAUCCCUCGGAAAGGAAAAAGUUCAGACCGCACUCACGAAUACCGCUCCGCUCUGGAAAGACCGGCCAAAUCUGUAAGAAAUGCUCGGCCAGGAGCGUAGAAUCGCCAUAAUGCAGUAAACGACUGCAAAAGCAGCUAUAACUCAAACAGAAGUUGACAAAAGCAAGAGCUAUGCGCUCUAUUAAAGUCACAAUAAGUGUCAUCGUAACGUUCACCACUUUUCACAUUUCAUCAAAGUCCAUUUCUGGUCCGUGCAAAGCAGUAAUGUAGAGAUUCUGUUUCAUUUGAAAUUGUUGGUUAUCACUGCCCUAGGAACUCAUCAAUUUUUGUGAUAGUAGUGACUGAAGUAUUUGUUUUGAGGGAAUUAGAAGCCAGAAGAUUUAGGAGCCAUGCCGCCGCUUAAGUAAGAUCUAAAAGCCAAGAAGCUACACCCAGAAGAAACUGCCACUGCAUAGAUUCUUGAAAUGAGCAAAGAAAUCUAAACUGAAAUGGUUAUCCACCAACUGAAGGCCAUAGAAUCUAUUAAGUUUUAUCCACGUUAGCACUGUUCAAAAUCUCAAGCUAGGCCACUAAACGAACUAUUCAUCACAAAAGCCUCACACAAAAUAUUCAUUCAUGAAUCAGUCUAGCCUAUUUUUUCUUCUGCUCUACCACUUUAACAAGUACUCAGAAAUCGCUCGAAAAGGGACAUUUUGAUUUUGCUUUGAUUUUGUGCCUUAGUUUUUCAACUAACCAAAAUAUUGCUUGCAGAAAUUAAUCAGUUUAUUAACUGAAAAAGCCCUUAAAUUAACUGCCAGGAGGUGAGUUUUUGUCUUCGAUUCUUGGAAAACGUUGAGUAGGGGCCCAACUAAAGGAAAUAGGCCAGACAAAGCCUGUAAAAAAAACCUAUAAAAAUAAAAAGUUCUAAAAGAGGCCAAUGUGAAACUGUUAUACAAGCUGGCCUAAAGUUAUGCGUAGAAGAAAACGUAUAAAAGUGAAUAAAUGUUUGCAAACGGAUGUUUAAAACAUGCGUUUUCUAAACGAAAGAUGAAAAAUAAUAUCAAAAAGCGAAUUAAGUGCUGUUCAAUCGUUUGACCAGCAGUUGAUUUGCGAAUGGCUGAAAAUAUUCGCUUAAACUUAUGGCAAAGCUUGUUAAAAUAAAAAAUAAAAAAUUUUAAAAGAAAUAAAAAUAUCCUUACACCGGGCACCUACAAUGCGUAUCCACCCGGGAUUCAAGCAAAAGCUAUUAUUCUAUUGGCCUUGAUUAUUAACAUAUUUCUGUGCUGUGUGUUCUUUCAGAUGAGUUUUGAACAGAGACGAAACUUGGAGCCUCGCGGAGCCAAAGUUUUAAAUUGAUUUUUGUUUUUAAUUCCCCAUAUUCGAGUCGAUUUCCCGCAGUCUUUCAUUAAUUUUCUUAAACAUUGACUGGCUAAUUCUUGAACCUCAGUUUUCAUUCAAAAGUCAUCUUUUCUUCGUUGGUCCCUGCUUGAGCUUGAAACAUUGUGCCAAGAAUUUUUUUCUGUUCAAUUGAACCUUUUCUGUGCAAAUGUCCUGCAGAAGAGGAAACCCAUUACAGACUUGUGCUUUCUCCUGAAUGUGAUAUGCAAGCAGGUGUAACAAAGCCUAUGAAAUCCGGUCCAACCCCACAUCAGGCCAUAGCCAAGAAGCUCCGCCUAAUACAAGAGAAGAUUAUACUAACCAGUUUGCUAUCUUUCAGAUCCGACCAAAAGUAGAUCGUGUUCUGUGAACUAACCUCUUCAGUGUUCAGCACCUCGUCAAUUGUUCUUAAUUGUUCCUUUUAUUUUAUGUUGUGUUAUCUAAUUAACUUCCGUUGUAUUUUACCCAGUCCCCUUCCUUGACUUUCUAAUAAUUUUCCAUGUUUUGACAUAUCCUUUUUUAUCCCACCCCAAAUAACCAACCAUACUAUUCCUAUAUAAGGUUCGUGUUUCGGAAAACGCAUUAAAAGGCGUAAUUUUAAAUCGUUUUCCGAAAUGGGAAUCACAUUUAAACAAUAUUUUGAACUGCGUAAAACGAAUAAAUGGAACGGUAUUGAAAGCCUAUGCAUCCAUUACUGUUCAAGAAGUAUAACUAAAAAAAAGGAAUGAAAAAAAAAGAAAAGAAAAACACAUUUACUAACAAAUAAAAACUUGCUGAUCAACGUUCUACGCAGUUCUUAAAAAGAUGUUGAAAUGAACACAGCCAAAGCAAGUAAAAAUGUGUGGAAACGUUAUACGAAUCUUCACCAAGUGCCCAAACUAUAUAAAGAAAAUUGAAAUCGUUAUACGCCUGAGCCGAUUCACAAAG